AUUGCAAUUAAGUGCUCAGAGAUAGGAGAUGUAUGUGGCCAACUUGAAAAUCGAGCCAAUGCUGAUUCAGAAAAUCAAAGAUGCUAAGGGGCUGACUCUGCUAUAGGGACUCUGAACGAAGAAUAAUCAUAGGGUUUAAAACCUGACUUCAGAGUUCAUGAUGAUGGGUUACUCCAGUUUUGAGGAAGACUAUGCAUCUAUAAUGAUUAGAGUAUGAAGAAACUCAUCUUGGAAGAGGCAUAUAGUUCUAAACUCACUAUAUAUCUGGGUAGCACCAAGAUGUACCAGAAUUUAUGAUCAUGGUAUUGGUAGAAUGGAAUGAAG
rnacentral:lncRNA from 1 species